GGGGAUGAUCGGUUUCGACGGUGAUUGUUUGUCGAAGGGAAGCGGGUCGAGGAUGCAGAGUCAUCUCGUUAACGACUCUCUGCAAACCAAUAGGUGCCAACUCUAAGCGCACCGAUUUCGCCCUCGCCGCCUGAGCGAGCUCCGAAAUCCGUCGGCCCGAGGGGGCUUCUUCCUCGGAGUCCGGCGUCGUCUUAGGAAGCCACUGCUGAGUCCGCAUGUUGCGGGCGAACUCGGAACACUAACGUAACUAGGUUCGUCAGAAACACGUCUGCGUGAGUUCUGGAGCCGAAAACAACGACUAGCAGACUGCACCCGGAGAAGACUUGGGCAUGCAUUACCGGACGCGAGUUCAAUUCUCGCCAUCUCCACUG
rnacentral:tmRNA from 1 species